rnacentral:rRNA from 1 species
AACGAACGCUGGCGGCAGGCCUAACACAUGCAAGUCGAACGCUCCGCAAGGAGAGUGGCAGACGGGUGAGUAACACGUGGGAAUCUUCCUAUCGGUACGGAAUAGCUCAGGGAAACUUGAGGUAAUACCGCAUACGCCCUUCGGGGGAAAGAUUUAUCGCCGAUAGAUGAGCCCGCGUCUGAUUAGCUAGUUGGUGGGGUAAUGGCCCACCAAGGCGACGAUCAGUAGCUGGUCUGAGAGGAUAACCAGCCACACUGGGACUGAGACACGGCCCAGACUCCUACGGGAGGCAGCAGUGGGGAAUAUUGCACAAUGGGCGCAAGCCUGAUCCAGCCAUGCCGCGUGAGUGACGAAGGUCUUCGGAUUGUAAAGCUCUUUUGCCAGGGACGAUAAUGACGGUACCUGGAGAAUAAGCCCCGGCUAACUUCGUGCCAGCCGCCGCAGUAAGAC